rnacentral:ncRNA from 1 species
CGUGCAUUUAUCAGACCAAAAACCGGCCGCGUCUUCGGGCGCGUUCGCCUUGGUGACUCUGGAUAACUUUGCGGAUCGCACGGUCUAGCACCGGCGACGGAUCAUUCAAGUGUCUGCCCUAUCAACUUUCGUCGGUACGGUAUUUGCCUACCGAGGUUCUUACGGGUGACGGGGAAUCAGGGUUCGAUUCCGGAGAGGGAGCCUGAGAAACGGCUACCACAUCCAAGGAAGGCAGCAGGCGCGCAAAUUACCCAUUCCCGACGCGGGGAGGUAGUGACGAAAAAUAACAAUGCAGGACUCGUUCGAGGCCCUGUAAUUGGAAUGAGUACACUUUAAAAGCUUUAACGAGUAUCCAUUGGAGGGCAAGUCUGGUGCCAGCAGCCGCGGUAAUUCCAGCUCCAAAAGUAUAUAUUUAAGUUGUUGCGGUUAAAAAGCUCGUAGUUGGAUUUUGGGCGCAGGCGGCCGGUCCGUCGCAAGGCGUGUACUGGACGUCCUGGCCUUCCCUCCUGUUCUCCGCCGGUGCUCUUGACUGAGUGUCGGCGGCGGCCGGAACGUUUACUUUGAAAAAAUUAGAGUGUUCAAAGCAGGCUCUCGAGCCUGGAUAAUGGUGCAUGGAAUAAUGGAAUAGGACCUCGGUUCUAUUUUGUUGGUUUUCGGAGCGCGAGGUAAUGAUUAAGAGGGACAGACGGGGGCAUUCGUACUGUGCCGUUAG